rnacentral:lncRNA from 1 species
GUUACAGGUUAAAGUAAAAGUGUUAUGAAAUAGUGGCUUGCACACAGCCUGAUGUGGGGUCGGCUGUGAUGGCAAAGAUCCCCGCAACACACGUUCCGUGUUCUAGUCGAGCUGUGCACUUUUCUGCUGUGUGCCAUUACUUUAAGGGGAGAAAGAGUGAGGGUUUCUCCUAGAAAAAUGUUGGUUCCCAGGCCUACGUGUGUCUGCCACUCUCAGACUGUGUGAGGGGCCGCCUUCCCCUCUCCAGUGCUGGAUGCCAGGCCAGGUUUCUGAGAUGCAGGGCUGUCUCAGAGCACGGGGAUGAUGACGGCAUGACAGCGGUGCCUUUGCUGCAUGUUUUGUCUGAGCCAAGCACAGGCCUGUGCCGUUUAUUCAUCUUCAUCAUCCCUCUACCUCACCAGUCAGCUAAACCGCAUCUUUAGCCGCGCUGCUGGCCUGUGGAGGAGGAAGCUUCUUUCCUGUUGGGCUCCCUGUGAGCGGGCCUUCCAUGCUUUGGCGGAGGCGUGCAUCAUGGUCAAGCUGACAGCGAAAACCUGUUUACCAGUAAUGCAGUUCAUAAAAUUAUUCCUGAGCACCUCCCAUAUGUGGAGAGGGGGCUUCCCGCUGAAAACCUGCCGCCUUGUGCUCCGCCUGCUCUGGCUCGGUUGACUGCGAGGACUCUUCGCGUCUCCAUGAGGGAGUUUGGACAGGACUUGUCAUCAUGGUUGGAAGAACUUUCUCUGAAUUCUCUUCGUGAGGAAGUUGAUGUCUUGGACACAGUAUUAUUUUCCUUUGAGGGACUGUUUCCUGUUAAAAGGAAUUUAGUUUUUCAUAAAGAACCUCCAAAUUUGCUAAAAACUGGUUUAAUAAUCUGUUUUAUUUCCUGUGUCAAGUAUCAAUGCGUGAAAAAUUUUUGAAUAUCAUGGUUAAUCCGUGGACUGCUGAACACAACAGACUGAGCAUCAUGUCAGAGGUGCACCUUGUGAUUUGUGAAAAAUGUUGAACCUACAGAAAAAUUGAAAAAGUAAUAUAAUCCUGGUAAUGUUUACUAGACUCGGUGAAUGUCUUCACAUUUUGCACUUUUGUGCACGAACACAUGCAAACAUCCCUGCCCCUCCAUCAGGAGUCGUUUGAGUCUGUCGCUCACAGUAAGAUUCAGGCUAAACAUCUUUGGAAAGACUGUAAAACAGCAGAGGCCGCAGUGCUUUUGGAUGAGAUCGGGAGGUGACAGGCAUCCCCUCUGACAUAAGUGAAGAACGUGGUGGUCCUCCCUCAGCUCAGGUGACAUGGGCGACCACUGCACAUCUGGGGAGGGGCUCGAAGAGUCAGUCACUCAGGG